UGUAGCUUUUGUUUAUAUCUUUGAUUAGAUGUCUUUAAAGCCCUCUGGGCUUACCUUCUUGGUGGCAUAUGAUAAAAAGGUGAGUUUGUUUGGUCUAUUGGGAACGUAGUGCUUUCCUUUGGUUUUAUACCUAUAAGCUUCGUUUGCCUUUUCUCUUAGAUUCAUUUGGGUUUCUUUGUAUUGUACGAAACAGUUCUCUCACUCUCAGCUCACAAACCCUCUCUCUCACGAAGCCCUGUCUUAUCACUCGUUUGUGUGUUAGCUAGUAUCAAAAAUGGCAUUAGAAGCAGUGGUUUACCCACAAGAUCCAUUUAGUCUUGCUUGCAAAGACUUUUACUCUUGGAGCUAUGACCUUGCUUUACAAGAAGAAGAUAAAGCCCUUCUUGGAAUCCAUAGCUUAGAGCAAAGUCUCCAUGCAAACUUUGAUUAUUCCUCAUCUCCUUCAGUGAUGCAAAAUGCUCAUAAAGAGUACUAUGACCCAAAUUCCUCUUCUCCUGAGGCUUGCACAGAUCAUACUAUUGAUCAAUAUUCUUUCCCUGGUGAAGUACAACUUUACCCUCUUCCUUCAAAGGAAGCUUUUGCAACAACAACAACGACUGGUCGUAGAAAGCGAAGACGCACCAAGUGUAGCAAAAACAAGGAGGAGAUUGAGAAUCAAAGGAUGACCCACAUUGCUGUUGAGCGCAAUCGUCGUAAACAGAUGAAUGAGUACCUCUCUGUGCUCAGGUCUUUGAUGCCUCCUUCUUAUGUUCAAAGGGGUGACCAAGCGUCUAUAAUAGGAGGAGCAAUCAAUUUUGUGAAGGAAUUAGAGCAGUUGUUGCAGUCCAUGGAGGUUCAUAAAAGGACAAAGCAAGAACCAGACACUAAUGGGUUUUCUUCUUCUUCUUCACCAUUUGCUCAGUUCUUCUCCUUCCCUCAGUACUCAACACGUGCAACUCAGUGCAACGACUCACCUGCCACUGCUACAGCAAACGAAUCAAUGGCCCAGCAGCAGCAACAGAAUCAAUGGGCUGUGGCAGACAUAGAAGUCACUAUGGUGGAGAGCCAUGCCAACCUCAAGAUACUCUCAAAGCAACAGCCUAGACAGCUCUUGAAAAUGGUGGCUGGGCUUCAAAGUCUGAGGCUCACUAUUCUCCACCUUAACGUUACCACUAUUGAUCAAAUGGUCCUCUAUUCCGUUAGCGUUAAGGUUGGUACAGUACAAUGAAAAGUUAGCCGAUCACUAUUCUCUCUUUUGUCAAUUUUACAAAGAUUUUGUUAAAAGUUGAGGAAGGGUGUCAGCUGAAUACAGUGGAUGAAAUAGCAACAGCAGUUAACCAAAUGCUAAGAAGAAUUCAAGAAGAGUCCGCUUUCAGCUGAAAUAAUAUGAAAAAACCCAACUCUUUUUUUAAUCGUUUUAUUUUGUAAUUGGGGUUAUAUCAUAUAUGCCUAUCAGAAUGAUUGGUUCCAUUC